UACGUAGGGUGCGAGCGUUGUCCGGAAUUAUUGGGCGUAAAGGGCUCGUAGGCGGCUUGUCGCGUCGGGAGUGAAAUCCACUGGCUUAACUGGUGGCUUGCUUUCGAUACGGGCAGACUAGAGUGCGGUAGGGGAGAUUGGAAUUCCUGGUGUAGCGGUGGAAUGCGCAGAUAUCAGGAGGAACACCGAUGGCGAAGGCAGGUCACUGGGCCGCAACUGACGCUGAGGAGCGAAAGCAUGGGGAGCGAACAGG
rnacentral:rRNA from 1 species